rfam:Camelus ferus unplaced genomic scaffold scaffold993, whole genome shotgun sequence.
GAGGGUAUAGCUCAGUGGUAGAGCACGUGCUUAGCAUGCAUGAGGUCUGGGGUUCAACCUCCAGUACCUCCA